rnacentral:rRNA from 1 species
CGGGAGGCAGCAGUGGGGAAUAUUGCACAAUGGGCGCAAGCCUGAUGCAGCCAUGCCGCGUGUGUGAAGAAGGCCUUCGGGUUGUAAAGCACUUUCAGUCGUGAGGAAGGUGGUGUCGUUAAUAGCUGCAUUAUUUGACGUUAGCGACAGAAGAAGCACCGGCUAACUCCGUGCCAGCAGCCGCGGUAAUACGGAGGGUGCGAGCGUUAAUCGGAAUUACUGGGCGUAAAGCGCAUGCAGGUGGUUUGUUAAGUCAGAUGUGAAAGCCCGGGGCUCAACCUCGGAAUAGCAUUUGAAACUGGCAGACUAGAGUACUGUAGAGGGGGGUAGAAUUUCAGGUGUAGCGGUGAAAUGCGUAGAGAUCUGAAGGAAUACCGGUGGCGAAGGCGGCCCCCUGGACAGAUACUGACACUCAGAUGCGAAAGCGUGGGGAGCAAACAGGAUUAGAUACCCUGGUAGUCCACGCCGUAAACGAUGUCUACUUGGAGGUUGUGGCCUUGAGCCGUGGCUUUCGGAGCUAACGCGUUAAGUAGACCGCCUGGGGAGUACGGUCGCAAGAUUAAAACUCAAAUGAAUUGACGGGGGCCCGCACAAGCGGUGGA